GUUGAAAACGAGCAUAUCCAUCCCGACCCACGCGCUACCACUCUGUAUGGAGUCCAGCUUCAGCACUCGCCCGAUCUUUUCGUCAACAAUAUCCACGAGAAAAGUUGUGUGAUAAUACAUGACUGUUAGUGCAUAGUCCUUAAACUUGACGGAAUAGAGUGAGUCCCUUAUAAAUAUCGAGGUCUUAGUGUACGGCACUGCGGCAUGGAGCAUGCAGAUGAGAGAUAUCCACUGGUUAUGACUCAAGGAGUCGCCCACAAACAUUAUUUUCUUUCCCCUCCAACUCGACAGCAACUCCUUCCCGUCAAACCUUGGAAGUUCGCAUGCUUGUGGCUUCCACCGGUACUUGAGGUACAUCUUGUCUGGUCGUCCGAACUUCUGGCAAUCGAACUCGAGGUCGAUGAAGGGGCAUUUUGAUGAUUCAUACAACGGGUACGAUUCAUCAAAUACCCAGCUUCCCUCAAACCAGUUGCAAGUUUUCUUAGCGUGGGUAGUAGUCGAGUUCCAGGGCUUGUGGUCACUACUGUCUACAAAGUAGAGAGUUGACAGUAGAAAAGCCGAGCAAAGAUGAAGAACUAAUUGGG
rnacentral:misc_RNA from 1 species